rnacentral:piRNA from 1 species
UGUUGUUUAGUCCCCAACUGUCUGC